AAGUUUUACCCACUAUUGGAAAUUCCAACGAUGAUGAAAUAUAAAAAAAAAAAUUUAAAAAUAAAAAAGGAAGACGCCAUAUUUUAAAGGUUUCACAAUAGUAAAUUUGAUAACUGUGAUGAAAAAUUCGACAUAUAAAUAAGACUAAUUAAUAUAAGACUAAUUGAUCCAUUAUCACACAUAUUAGACCUCAACCUAGUUCGGAAAAAUUUC
rnacentral:lncRNA from 1 species